rnacentral:rRNA from 1 species
GAUGAACGCUGGCGGCGUGCCUAAUCCAUGCAAGUCGAGCGAACAGACGAGGAGCUUGCUCCUCUGACGUUAGCGGCGGACGGGUGAGUAACACGUGGAUAACCUACCUAUAAGACUGGGAUAACUUCGGGAAACCGGAGCUAAUACCGGAUAAUAUAUUGAACCGCAUGGUUCAAUAGUGAAAGACGGUUUUGCUGUCACUUAUAGAUGGAUCCGCGCCGCAUUAGCUAGUUGGUAAGGUAACGGCUUACCAAGGCAACGAUGCGUAGCCGACCUGAGAGGGUGAUCGGCCACACUGGAACUGAGACACGGUCCAGACUCCUACGGGAGGCAGCAGUAGGGAAUCUUCCGCAAUGGGCGAAAGCCUGACGGAGCAACGCCGCGUGAGUGAUGAAGGUCUUCGGAUCGUAAAACUCUGUUAUUAGGGAAGAACAAAUGUGUAAGUAACUAUGCACGUCUUGACGGUACCUAAUCAGAAAGCCACGGCUAACUACGU